UAGGAAUCCAAUACCAUACUGUCAGUUUAAAGAGAGGUUUUUUCCUCCUUCAUUUAAGGAAAGUAAGAUUACUGCAAGAUGUUUCUAGAUUUCCUUAGUUUGAAUCUAACAGUCAAAACACAUUUUAGAAAAUCCUACAUAGUACUUUUCUGGAAUCUAAUCCAUACCACGUAUGUUGUUGCUAUUACCAUGCGGUUUUAAAAAAAUAACUUAAGCUCUUCUAUUGUAACUAAACUAUACAGCCUUGAACAAAUCACUUAACCUUACCACAUGGUUAGUUUUCUCAUCUUUCUCAUCUUUGACUUUUUUAAAUGACUAUAAAUGAUGAGACUAUCUAACUUUAAAACACUACAAUGCAAAAAUUUUUUGUAAAGUGCUAUACAAACAACUUAUAGCAUGUACUUACAAAUUAAAAGCCAGAUACAUUUUCCAUUAAAAGAUAGUUUUAAAAACAGUCCCAUCUAGUUUGUUGAUUUAAGUACUCUUAUUAUGGCCAAGUUAAAGAAAUUAAACAGUGCUUUUUACCUUCUUUAACUUUCUAAUCUUACUUGUAAGCCAUCAUUAUAGAAAGAAAAAGAUGCUAUUGAAAGAUUUCAUCAGCAUUAAUUAGUUGGUCUUAUUUUAUUGCUUAACUCAUUUCUUCACGUAUCUUUUGGAAGACAACUCCUGCAUAGAACUGUCAGAUGGCAGCUCUUUUGAAGCUUUAAUCUUACGUGAAUGGAAGUGUUUGUGUGGUAGAAGUGUUUCAUGAACACUUGCCAAAUUCUUCAAGCUAGAGGAGCAGUGCCCAGCCAUUUUAAAUAUGUCAAUUUCAUCGAUUAUCAUAGUAAUUCUUAAUUACCUAAUGAUUUCUAAAAUGCAGAAUGACCAAAAGCUACCAGGAAUUCAAUGAUUUUUUUUUAAUCAAACUUGGAUUACUCGUCACAAAUAUAUAUAUCUACAUUUGAUAUGUGUGAUAUACUUAGUCUAUAGACAUAUAUGAUGCUUAAAUGGAUUAAUGGUUCCUUAUGAUAAUUCCAAUAUGCUGCUGGUGUUCAUAGUUAACAGGCUAGAACCACUGGGCUAGACUAUUUCUAUAUUCAUGUUUAAAUAAUUUCCUUUUUUAACUAGGUGCAUGUCCUUAAUUAUAUCCAAUCUUAAAAUAGCCUUAAAUCAGAUAGCUAAUAGGUUCAACCCAGUUCAAGAGCCUCUAACCCUUCUAAUGCUUAGCAAGUCUUAGGUGCCGAAUUGUCCAUUUGGUGGGCCUCAUGUUAGAUACAUCACGCUGCUCUUCAAAGUGUAUCACAGUAUAUUAAGGAUCUUAUUUAACAGAUUUGAGUGGCAAGAGUACACUCAACAGGUGCUACACAACUACAUGAUAAUAUAGUACUCGUCAAUAAGAAUAAGAAAUUCUUGUGCAACCAUCAGUUUAUAAAUUGUUUUUUGAACAGCAGUGAUAGAUUUGGGGCAUUAACCUACACUUUUUUUGUCAAAGGUCUCACUUGAAGGUCAUGCAUUUUAUAGUAUUUUGGAUAAGGGUUUAAGUCAUAGUUUCUAAACUGGGUGUAAUUAACUAUUCCCUAUAGAAGUAGCAAUCAUGAAUCUAAUUAGCAUUAGUCUCAGUGGUCUAAGCUAAUUGAAUCCAGUAUCUAUAAGCAUUAGUUCCAACCACUCAUAAAUGUAGCUGGAUUUCUAAAUGCCAGUUUAUAUCCAUUACUAUAGAUUUAUGACUAUAUUUUUCUAAGCUACAAGUUUGCAGUCUUAUUUAUAAUUAUUAAUAACAUAGGCACAUACAAGUCAGUGCUAGACAGGAGUGGGAAUGCAGAUUUUGUGGGUCAUUGUUAGGGGAAUUCAAUUUUGUGAUAAAUUAGUGUCAUUUACUUAUCAGAAAGCAAUGGCUUAGUUACAAGCCUGCCCAAGAAAGUUAUUUGCACAAUUUGAAUAUGUGGCUUGUUGGCUGAGAUAAAGAAUGUAAAGCAGAAGAGUGCCUGGCUCUUGAUAUACAAUCAAAUUUUAAUGAGUGGUAGUAAGAAUAGCAGUAGUAGCAGCAGAAGGAAUAGUAAGUACUGUGGUAGGCUGAAUAAUGGCCCACAAAAGUGUCCAAGUCCUAAUCCCAAGAACCUGUCAAUAUGUAACCUUAUAUGGCAAAAAAAGCACUAUUGAUUAGGAAUCCCGACUCCUGAGAUAGGUUAUCUUCUAGUGGGCCUAGUGUAAUCACAAGGGUCCUUAUAAGGAGACAAGUCAGAGAUGGAAAGAUGCUCUGCACUGCUGGCUUUGAAGAUGGAGGCUGAGACCAUGAGCCAAUGAAUGCAGAUGGCCUUUAGGAGCUACAAAACAUAAGAAAACACCUUCUCCCCCAGAGCUUCCAGAAUGAAUGCAGCUCUGCCAACACCUUGAUUUUGGGACUCUGACCUCCAGAACUGUCACAAUUCAAGUAUAAAUAAUAAAUUAGAAGUACAUAUUACUAU
rnacentral:lncRNA from 10 species